rnacentral:pre_miRNA from 1 species
UCUUUAUGAAGACGAUGAUGAGGAGGAUGAUGAUGGUGAUGAUGAUCAUCAUCAGCAGCAGCAUCAUCAUCAUCAUCAUCAUCAUCAUCAUCACCA